AUGGACUUUCUGACCCUGGUCCUUGUCCCACAGCCUCUGUCUCUGAAGCCUCUGCCCCUCCAGGCUGUGAUCCCUGGUGCCCUCGGAACUCCGUAUGUGUCAGUGCCACCACCUGUCGCUGCCAUCCAGGAUUCAGCUCCUGGUCUGGGGAGAUCAUCACCAACCCCGCAGACAGUUAUGAUGACAUCAAUGAGUGUGGCCCACCCUUGGCCGUGUCCUGUGGAAAAUUCGCGGAUUGCCAGAAUGUGGACGGGAGCUACUACUGCACAUGUGCCCCCGGAUAUGGACUCGUUUCUGGGGCAACAACGUUCAGAAAUGAGAGUGAGAACACGUGUCAAGGUAAGAACCACCCCGCAUCUGCCAUCUCCUCGUCCAUGAGGUUUGGGGUCAUUUGCGCCGCUUUCUCCAGGUAGCAGAGGGCCGUCCUGGCACCGACCUAGUCACUCACCCUCUUUGAAUCUCAACGCUCAGACUCCUCCACAGAGGGACACUUCUCCAAUUUUGGAAUGUCAUCCUUGCCCACAUGGCAUCUUAUUUUCAUGAAACGAGAGGGUUGGCAUCAAGAGACCUCACGGGCUCACAGUGUCUUGGUACCAGCACAGUAUCCAUCCUCUUCAGUCACUGCCAGAAGCCCACAGGGGCUUGGCCACAGCUGGAGCACACUCAGAGUCCUCAGGCCAUGAUGGACACAGGAACCUCAUCCAGAAACACGAGAGGGGGGAGAUUCAAGGGCAGGUCCACAUUCCCUGGCUGGCUCUGGCCCUGGCCAACAUCCCCACCUGGUGAAGACGCCUCCUGCCACCUGACCCUGCUGCUCUGCCUCCAUCUAAUUCUCUGGACAAGGCGCUGCCCGGACCCUCCCCAGUAGUUUCAGCUCAUGGCCCGUGGGCAAGGCAGAUGAACUGGGACCUGGGGGGAGCAGGGUCAGGGGUGGACAGUGUGACAUGGAAACUCCCCCCGGCAAACUCAGAGAAUCGGGUGACAGAAGAGCUCCAUGAGAACCAAAUGGCAAGAGAGGACAUUGUCAUGGACCAUCGCCCCAGGUUGACCCUCUCCCAGAGGGGUCAAGCCAGGCCCCACGUUGACCUGGGCCACUUGGGCACAGAAGAUGGAGGCUGAAACAACCCCACGGGGCCCAUCGUUCUGCGUUUCUGGGGGGAGGCCGAGGGCUGAGAAGACAGAAACCUCUGCCACCCCUCGCCCAUCAGCACCUGCUCCCCUUCCAGCCACCCAGCCCUCACCCACCGCUGGCCUUGAUCCAAUGUGAAUCUCCCCACUUCUGUCAGUCCAGAAGAUGUCUUCAUGGGAAUCAGGAAAAGACACCUUCACAGCCCCAAGGCUGGCUGGCUGGAUGUCAGCCCCACUGUCCACCCAGCCU
rnacentral:lncRNA from 1 species